rnacentral:sRNA from 1 species
GAUCGAGUGAACUUAAACGAGUCUUUUUGGCGUCUGGAGAUCGGGCGACACUUCUCUGCGAAGUAGCAUCUGAAGUUUCAUUGUCUGAACUAGCACAGGAGCUACUUUCUGGAUCA